rnacentral:rRNA from 1 species
AUACGUAGGUGGCAAGCGUUGUCCGGAAUUAUUGGGCGUAAAGCGCGCGCAGGCGGUCUUUUAAGUCUGAUGUGAAAUCUUGCGGCUCAACCGCAAGCGGUCAUUGGAAACUGGGAGACUUGAGUGCAGAAGAGGAGAGUGGAAUUCCACGUGUAGCGGUGAAAUGCGUAGAGAUGUGGAGGAACACCAGUGGCGAAGGCGACUCUCUGGUCUGUAACUGACGCUGAGGCGCGAAAGCGUGGGGAGCAAACAGGAUUAGAUACCCUGGUAGUCCACGCCGUAAACGAUGAGUGCUAGGUGUUAGGGGUUUCGAUGCCCUUAGUGCCGAAGUUAACACAUUAAGCACUCCGCCUGGGGAGUACGACCGCAAGGUUGAA